rnacentral:misc_RNA from 1 species
CCAAUAGCGUAUAUUAAAGUUGUUGCAGUUAAAAAGCUCGUAGUUGAAUUUCGGAAUUCUUUUAUCGGUUGAAUCAACAGGUUCGUACUGAUUUUAAGAAUUUCUACCUUCUGGAGAACCUUAAUGUCAUUUAUUUGGUGUUUUGGGGAACCAGGACUGUUACCUUGAAAAAAUUAGAGUGUUUAAAGCAGGCUUAUGUCUGAAUAUAUUAGCAUGGAAUAAUGAAAUAGGACGGCAUGGUUCUAUUUUGUUGGUUUCUAGGAUCACCGUAAUGAUUAAUAGGGAUAGUUGGGGGCAUUAGUAUUCAAUUGUCAGAGGUGAAAUUCUUGGAUUUAUUGAAGACUAACUUCUGCGAAAGCAUUUGCCAAGGAUGUUUUCAUUAAUCAAGAACGAAAGUUAGGGGAUCGAAGACGAUCAGAUACCGUCGUAGUCUUAACCAUAAACUAUGCCGACUAGGAAUCGGACGAAGUUAAUUUUUUAAUGACUCGUUCGGCGCCUUACG